AGUGAACGCUGGCGGCGUGCUUAACACAUGCAAGUCGAACGAGAACGGAUUAUAGCUUGCUAUAAUUGUCAGCUAAGUGGCGCACGGGUGAGUAAUGUAUAGGUAAUAUGCCUCUUACUAAGGGAUAACAAAUGGAAACGUUUGCUAAUACCUUAUACUCCUUAUUAACAGAAGUUAAUAAGGGAAAGAUUUAUUGGUAAGAGAUUAGCCUGUAUUGUAUCAGUUAGUUGGUGGGGUAAUGGCUUACCAAGACUAUGACACGUAACUGGUUUGAGAGGAUGAUCAGUCACACUGGAACUGAGACACGGUCCAGACUCCUACGGGAGGCAGCAGUGGAGAAUAUUGCACAAUGGACGAAAGUCUGAUGCAGCAACGCCGCGUGGAGGAUGACACAUUUCGGUGCGUAAACUCCAUUUAUAUGAGAAGAUAAUGACGGUAUUAUAUGAAUAAGCACCGGCUAACUCCGUGCCAGCCGCCGCUGUAA
rnacentral:rRNA from 1 species